rnacentral:rRNA from 1 species
UUAUCGGAGAGUUUGAUCCUGGCUCAGGACGAACGCUGGCGGCGUGCCUAAUACAUGCAAGACG